rnacentral:misc_RNA from 1 species
ACAUCAAUCUAUGUCUGUAGAUGUGAUUAAGAAAGCAUAUCAAGCAACUGAAGAGGGGUUUCUUUCUCUUGUCACUAAACAGUGGCCCAUGAAGCCUCAGAUUGCAGCAGUUGGAUCUUGUUGUCUGGUGGGUAUCAUUUGUGGGGGUACCCUCUACAUUGCUAACCUUGGUGAUUCACGGGCUGUCCUUGGUAGGCUUGUCAAAGCAACUGGGGAAGUUCUUGCCAUCCAGCUGUCAUCAGAGCA